rnacentral:rRNA from 1 species
AUUGAACGCUGGCGGCAUGCUUUACACAUGCAAGUCGAACGGUAACAGGGAGCUUGCUCCGCUGACGAGUGGCGAACGGGUGAGUAAUGCGUCGGAACGUGCCGAGUAGUGGGGGAUAACGCAGCGAAAGUUGUGCUAAUACCGCAUACGUACUGAGGUAGAAAGUGGGGGACCUUCGGGCCUCACGCUAUUCGAGCGGCCGACGUCUGAUUAGCUAGUAGGUGAGGUAAAGGCCCACCUAGGCGACGAUCAGUAGCGGGUCUGAGAGGAUGAUCCGCCACACUGGGACUGAGACACGGCCCAGACUCCUACGGGAGGCAGCAGUGGGGAAUGUUGGACAAUGGGCGAAAGCCUGAUCCAGCCAUGCCGCGUGUCUGAAGAAGGCCUUCGGGUUGUAAAGGACCUUUGUCGGGGAGGAAAUCCCCAGCGCUAAUACCGCUGGGGGAUGACAGUACCUGAAGAAUAAGCACCGGCUAACUACGUGCCAGCCGCCGCAGUAACAC